rnacentral:rRNA from 1 species
CCGUGCCAGCAGCCGCGGUAAUACGGAGGAUGCAAGCGUUAUCCGGAAUGAUUGGGCGUAAAGGGUCUGCAGGUGGAACUGAAAGUCUGCUGUUAAAGAGUUUGGCUUAACCAAAUAAAAGCGGUGGAAACUACAGAACUAGAGUGCGGUAGGGGCAAAAGGAAUUCCUGGUGUAGCGGUGAAAUGCGUAGAUAUCAGGAAGAACACCGGUGGCGAAAGCGUUUUGCUAGACCGUAACUGACACUGAGGGACAAAAGCUAGGGGAGCGAAAGGGAUUAAAUA